rnacentral:rRNA from 1 species
CAGCAGCCACGGUAAUACGUAGGUGGCAAGCGUUGUCCGGAUUUAUUGGGCGUAAAGCGAGCGCAGGCGGUUAGAUAAGUCUGAAGUUAAAGGCUGUGGCUUAACCAUAGUAUGCUUUGGAAACUGUUUAACUUGAGUGCAGAAGGGGAGAGUGGAAUUCCAUGUGUAGCGGUGAAAUGCGUAGAUAUAUGGAGGAACACCGGUGGCGAAAGCGGCUCUCUGGUCUGUAACUGACGCUGAGGCUCGAAAGCGUGGGGAGCAAACAGGAUUAGAUACCCCCGUAGUCCCUGUCUCUUAUACA